GUGGGGAAUAUUGGACAAUGGGGGGAACCCUGAUCCAGCCAUGCCGCGUGUGUGAAGAAGGCCUUUUGGUUGUAAAGCACUUUCAGUGGGGAGGAAGGCUUUGGGCUAAUACCCUGGAGUACUUGACGUUACCCACAGAAGAAGCACCGGCUAAUUUCGUGCCAGCAGCCGCGGUAAUACGAAGGGUGCAAGCGUUAAUCGGAAUUACUGGGCGUAAAGCGCGCGUAGGUGGUUUUGUAAGUUGGAGGUGAAAUCCCCGGGCUCAACCUGGGAACUGCCUCCAAAACUGCAUGACUAGAGUACGGUAGAGGGUAGUGGAAUUUCCUGUGUAGCGGUGAAAUGCGUAGAUAUAGGAAGGAACACCAGUGGCGAAGGCGACUACCUGGACUGAUACUGACACUGAGGUGCGAAAGCGUGGGGAGCAAACAGGAUUAGAAACCCGAGUAGUCC
rnacentral:rRNA from 1 species